GGGUACCCAGUUCAUAUGAAUUUCAGGUCAACAACAAGCAAUUUUUUUUAGUGCUGUAUGUCCCAAUACUAAUGUUUGGGACCUACUUAUGCUAAAAUAUUAUUUGUUGUUUACCCGAAGUCAAAAUUUAAC
rnacentral:miRNA from 1 species